rnacentral:lncRNA from 1 species
AGCAAAACAAUACAACGGGCUCCGUUGCUCCUGGGGGUCCAGUGUCCAGUUAUAGUACUGUCCUGACUGCCGUCCUGGUGGCCGCCAUGUCCAGUCUCUGCGCUUUGUUUCAUUAAGACUGAUCGCUAUGCGACCUCCUUCACUUCAGCUUUAACAGCUUGGAACAUCCCAGAAAAUAUAUAUUAAUUGGACCAGGCUUGUGUGAACAAAUCUUGAUGUGCUACAUGUGAUGUACAACAGACUCGAUCUACACCUCAGUGGAGGCACUUCAGGUCAAAAGGAACAGUUUUUGCUGCAGACAUGUUGUUGUUGUUGUUCAGGUGCAGCCUGCAGGUAGCUUAAAUUAACAUACAAGUUCUUUAUAAGACAACAGGAAGUUACAGGCUCUGAGCAGUCAGCAUGUAGUAACAUAGAUCUCCAUAAGACCAGAGGAAGAUACCUGCCGGGAACAGUCAAUAUGGACACCAACCACAGAGAACACAGUAAUAACAGGUCUAAGCUCCCCUCUUGAUAACAAGGGUAUAUCCGUUUGAUUUGAAGCACCAUAUUUAUGUGAAAGAGAAUGAAUGAAUGGUACUUGAACUAUCAGCCACUUAAUUUAACAGCAUUUCUCUCAAGAAUUAACUAUAAAACUGUUCAUAGAAUGUCAGAAAGCAGCAAAAAAUGUUCCUUUUUAGCCUUUCAUGGUAUUUUAAUAACUUAUUUUUAAUAUUGUCAUAGAUUUUAAAAUGAUACAUUUUAUUGUCAAGAAAAACUUAUUGUUUUACAGGUAAAAGUGAUAAUUCCCUUAUAUUUUAUUAAUAGUACAUACUGUUUUUUUCCAUGAAUGUAAAACAAAACCUUUUUUAUUCAAAAAAAAUGUGUGCAAUUUGUAAUGUACUUAGAACAUAUUCAGUUCUUAAAUAACUGAACUUUGAAUGUUGAGAUUCCGCUAUCUAAUUUUAGCACUGUCGAUUGGUGUUUCUUAAUGCUGUAAUAUAUGGCUACAUAACAUGCUUGACCAGCGUUCCAAGCCACUUGACCAAACCUGCUACAACCAUGGGGAAUGAGCACCACCAGAACAUUCUCUGCUCUCAGGGAUGACAAUGAGCCAUUAAUUCAACCUUUAGGAAACGAACAGAUACGAUUAUAUGAAGCAAAUUGAUUUGGAUUGUAGCUUUUCUUAAUUGUUUAAAUGGAUGGAAAUUUCAAAUGAUUUUAUUGCUUUGUCUCCUUGAAUAUGUUCAGUAUCCUAUUGUAUUGAUCCUCACUUGCCAGCUGCCGGCUUUCACAUUUGCAUAUCUGGAAUAAAUGUUCUUUGUCCUACUGCUA